GGGGAAUCUUGGACAAUGGGGGAAACCCUGAUCCAGCCAUGCCGCGUGAUCGAUGAAGGCCUUAGGGUUGUAAAGAUCUUUCAGCUGGGAAGAUAAUGACUGUACCAGCAGAAAAAGCCCCGGCUAACUCCGUGCCAGCAGCCGCGGUAAUACGGAGGGGGCUAGCGUUGUUCGGAAUUACUGGGCGUAAAGCGCACGUAGGCGGAUCAGUCAGUCAGGGGUGAAAUCCCGGGGCUCAACCCCGGAACUGCCUUUGAUACUGCUGGUCUUGAGGUCGAGAGAGGUGAGUGGAAUUCCGAGUGUAGAGGUGAAAUUCGUAGAUAUUCGGAGGAACACCAGUGGCGAAGGCGGCUCACUGGCUCGAUACUGACGCUGAGGUGCGAAAGCGUGGGGAGCAAAC
rnacentral:rRNA from 1 species